GAAUUUGAAUGUGCGAGAAAGUACAAAAUACAUACAGUAUACGAUAAUAUAAAGAAAUAUUAAAAUAGAUUUAUUUUGAUAAACUAAAUCUGAAAGAUAAUGCAUCUCAUCUAGUAUUCGAAGAGGGUGUGAAAGUAGCAAAUCGAUUCGUCGCGGAAAAACUAGGAAGGCAUGGAUAUAAAUUUGAAAUAUCGAAUCAGUCUCGAUUGCCUUAACCUUGUUACGUUAUUUCAUGCGUCUAUUCCCAUACUCAUUGUUGAUCGAAGUAUGACGUCAAUUAUACGAAUUAAGUACACUGGUAAGGAUAUUUUCGCUAUGCGACAUUCUCGAUGAAGAUAGUAACGUCUGAUUUCCAGGCUUAGUUGAUAGCGAUAAGGUGCAUUCAAAUAUGCAGCUCGAAGGGACAGAGAAAGAAUUGUUGAUAAAUAUCGAUUGCCCUCUCAAAUUGAUACUGAAUUACAUUCGAAAUGCAGUAAACUUGGAAAAUACCGAUAUUUUCAGCCGAAUUCGAUUUAUGUGACGAGAUUAGUUGUCAAUUAAGAAAAGUUUCCUUCUUCGAGCCUCGCACAUCUGGUCUCGACAUCUUUGAUGCGGAUUUAACAUAUUUAAUAGUCAUACAUCAACGGGACUCGAAUGGCCAAAUGAUAAAUUUCACACCACUCCUUACUGGAAAAACGGCGAAAAGAUGCACCGACAUACUAUUAAAGAAUCAUACGUCGCAUAGAAAAGGUUCGUCUGUGAAAUCCACAUUGAAAAUAAAACCAUA